UAGGCAUGGAAAUGGUCCGCGACUUUCUCCCUUUUCGCCAGCCCCUCUUUUGCUCUCAAAUCCUUGCUCUUUCUUUUGCAAAAUAGUCUCAGAAGAGAUCCUGGGUUUAUCGAAUCCUUUGUUGUUCGGCGUUUUGUUCUCAUCUUGUGAUCGUCGGGUCAGCAGCUUUAAGGUAAGUUUGUUUUUAAUGAUUUAUCCUCAUUUUACGAUGUCUGGGCUAACAAAUUUAAGAUCUUUAUUUUUCUUUUUGCUGCGGAUCUGCAGGUUUUGACAAGUUUUUUGUGAAAUUGGUGCUGUCAGUGGGUGUUAACAUCAGGUACCCAUGUUCAGUUUUUCGUUUUGAUUUGAAGGAAUUUCUUGCGCAGAAGUGCUAGGGUUUCUUGGUGAGUUCUUCGGGUUGUGCAUAUGGGAGCUGCAGCAAUCUGUUUUAUCCUACACGGGACAACGAGGCAAUGGCGUGACAACAGGUGAGCUUGGAUAUCCAAAGAAAGAGAACAGUUGGUUCAUCUGCUGGAGUCUGAAGCUCAGAGAAGUGGAGGAAAAUUGCAGGUGUGCGAGAAAUUUUAUUUUGCUGAUAGGACUCCUUAUUUACGGAUGCAUUUUGAAAUAAUUGAAAAGUUGGAUUUGAGUUAACAGCUAUAAAAAUGUAGACAUGAUUGCUGAGAUUAUGCUAUGAAAGUGGAAUAAAAAAAUGGUAGUUUAUAAUAUUGCGUACCAAUUUUUUUCUCUCUUUUUUACCAAAUGAUAAGGGUGGUGGCUCAGGCCGCCCCCCCUACGCGUCCCCACUCUUCGACAAGUUGAAAUCAUGGUGAUAGUUUAUGGGCUGUGGUCUUGGGAUUCUGCAAAUAGAUUAAAAAACAGACACUUAACUAUCUUGUUAUUAAACAUUUCUGCAUCAUUCAGUUGCUCUUGAUUUUCGUCUUUUAAGCGAUCUUAUUUCUGCGAUCUGACUUGAGGAGGGUUUUUAGACCUAUGGUUGUGGGUGUUUUGUCUGACCCCAUUAAAUUGGUUUCCGAGAUUUGUAGACUUGCGAUCGGCAGUCAAACAUUUUGUGAUUCUUGCUUUUUUUCCGACUGGGAUUGACGAAUUUUGGCCGAAUCUGUUUCCUGUUUUCUUCUCUGUUUGAGCGGCCGCUGCCUUUCGGUCGUUGAGCGCCGGCAGUCUUUAGAUCUUUGGCAAAUCAAUUUAAUACAACCGAGUUGUGGUCCUCUGUUAGGAUUUUCCUGGCUAAGAGGGUAUUUGCGUUUUUGUUGCUUGGUUGGUCGAUCACAGAUUUACGAACAGCUGUGGUGGUCCUGUUAUUUUUUUGGUUGUGUUUGUGCUGGGACAACAUUUUCCACCUUCUGUUUGCACUGGGAUGAUUGCGUUUUAAAACUGUUGGGUUGAUGGAAAACAGAGCUCUUACUCCUAUCAAUCAGUUGGUCCCGUACAUAAAUGCAGAAAAAUCAAGGUUCGAGUUUGCAGAGUAUGCAGACCAAGGUUUCCUGAAACUACUGGUGCUGUCACGCCCCAAUCCCGACCUAUGUCCAGGAUCGACACGUGACGUUAACAAAUACCCAUAUCUCUAACAUACCCCGCCUCCGGAAUAUGGGCAAAGCACAACUGCGUAAUAAUUUUUCGUAUACUUUAUGGCUGCAUCUAACAUCCUCGUUAGAUUAUCAUACCUUAUGGCUACAUCUAACAUCCUUGUUAGACUGCCUACGUACUCUCAAAAGGGAUCAAACCAUUCGUAGUUCACCACACUCCAAUCCACAAAAAUUUGCACAUGCACUGAUUAUAAAAUGGAACUGCACCUAUAGAAACCUAAUCAUAACCCGUGGGCGAUUUGCUCCCACAUAAGAAAGACGUCCACAGUACCAUGAAAUACUUCCACAUCUUUCCUUCCCAUUUACACAAUAUUUUAUUUCACCUCCCUGAUAAAUAUAGCAUUUACAUUACAUGUGGCAGACAAAUUUGCAUAUUCAACUAUAAUAAAAUACAAUCUUAGUAGGAAAAACCUACAAGACCACCACUCGUUUGAGCCAAACUUUAGCUUAGCACUCAACUGGUGCUCACACCAUGUGAGUGCACGAUCCUUUAAGAUGGAUGCGAUGGUUCUCUUUUGAGAUUAAUUUUGUUACAGGUAUAACAUAGUUGGCAACCGUUUAGAAAUAGAUGCCUCAUGUUCAAAACUCUCAUUACCAAAUGUUCUAACAAGUUAGUAGAGAAGGUAAAAGAACCCAAAUGGCGAGAAAUAGUGUCCUGAUGAAACAAAAGAUGUAACCCUCAUUCAAGCACGAACAUCAUUUCCUUGAGAAUCUGCGAUUUCUUCCCUCAUUUGGUCAAUAUAGCUUGUAUUCCAACUGCAACUUACUAAUAGCAUUUGUUCUCUCCUCGAAUGAAACCAUAACCAGCCAUUUUAAAUAAAGCUGAACAGUUUCACGUUGGGAAAAUAAAGAUUAUAACAUACAGGUUUUGGAUUAGAUUCCCAAACCAACAGAAAAUUAAGAUAGGAAUCUAUUUUGGGUUAACUGAGGUAUGAGUGGUAUACAAAUGAGAAAUUCCCUACAAAAGUCAAUAAAACCAGUUACAUAACAUGUUGAAUAUAAUACAACAUGAAAUAAGAAGCACCACUUGUUUAUCUGACUUUUUAUACAUGUAUUUUCCUAAGGGAUAAAAACGUGCGGGUUUUGGGAUCAAUCUGAAGAGGGCUUCACCACGAAUACAUAGCCUUUGACCGUGCAUGAUUUCGUUGCCGUAUGAGAAAGUUAUCAUUUUUUUUUUUUGUGAAGAAGAAUUAAGGGGGAGAAGAACAGCUGCCCCCUCUGUUUCUGCAUCUGCCCAGCGGGGAAAGAAAAAGAAGAGAAGCCCUUGGCUUCUAGAAUACUCCCUCCCCAAAAUUACAAUUUUGCUCUCUAACUUUGAUUGUUUAUAUCUUAUUCGUUAUAACUCUGUUUCA